UACGUAGGUGGCGAGCGUUGUCCGGAUUUACUGGGUGUAAAGGGCGUGUGGGCGGAUCCGCAAGUCAGAUGUGAAAUACCGAUGCUUAACAUCGGGGCUGCAUUUGAAACUGUGGACCUUGAGUGCAGGAGAGGAAAGCGGAAUUCCUAGUGUAGCGGUGAAAUGCGUAGAUACUAGGAGGAACACCAGUGGCGAAGGCGGCUUUCUGGACUGUAACUGACGCUGAGGCGCGAAAGCGUGGGUAGCAAACAGG
rnacentral:rRNA from 1 species